rnacentral:rRNA from 1 species
GACGUAGGGUGCAAGCGUUGUCCGGAUUUACUGGGCGUAAAGAGCGCGUAGGCGGCUCGUUAAGUGAGAAGUGAAAGCUGUGGGCUCAACCCACAAACCGCUUUUCAUACUGGCGAGCUGGAGUGAUGCAGAGGUGGAUAGAAUUCCCGGUGUAGCGGUGAAAUGCGUUGAUAUCGGGAGGAAUACCCGUGGCGAAGGCGGUCCACUGGGCAUCAACUGACGCUGAGGCGCGAAAGCUAGGGGAGCGAACGGG